ACUAGCCUCGAUUCCAAGCCGCUGAGAAAGACGGCCUGGUAUACACUGUUUACGCAUGCGCCAGAAUUACCCAGAAUCUGGGUAAUCGUAAAUUGCAGUAUAUUUAUCAGUAUUCUUAUUCCGCAUUAGUUUGUAAAACAUUGAUAUCCGUUUCAUUUAUAAUGAUGUCAUUGAAAAAAGAAAUCUAGUCCAAGUUGUGUAAUGGCUGCUACCUUCUCUUCUGCUCUCGCGUACGCGUUAUCCUGUGUUGGAAAACCAGGUCUAGUCUUGAAAGACAAGCAGCUGGAGGCGUUGAAGUGUCUGUACGCUGGUGUUUAUGUGGGUACCGUACCGACCGGCUAUGGCAAGUCCCAGAGCAAGUCCAUCUGCUUUCCAGACACUCCCUUUCUUGAUUGAUGUGAAGCUUGACAGGACCAGUGCACCUCUCUCUGAAAGAAGUGUUGUGAUGGUGAUUUCUCCUCUUGUUUCUCUGAGUGAAGCCAUCUUCAAAGUGUUGGUGUGUCUGUUCGACGUUCAGUGCCAUUCUCUCUGGAAGGAAGUAUUGUUGUGACAUUUGCCGAAAAUUGGUCACAGAGUAAGUACGUGGUAUCUGAUCCGAGAACUGUGUGGCCUGAAUGUGUUUACAAUCCGAGGGACUUGUGUGUAUCCGAUCCGAGGGACUUGUUGCUUGAGUGUGUAUCCGGACUUGUUGCUUGAGUGUGUAUUAAUGGAUAGUGCUUUCAAUGGUAAAUCUAUUGUGUUUAACUAAUUUCUUAUGAGAUUAACUGUCGCCUGAGUGUGUAUCCGAUCCGAGCCUCAAGUUAAUGAAUAAAUCUACAGAGCUGAUGUUUUACUUAGCUGUCUCUGUCUACAGUAUAUACAGAGAGAGGUAGCCUCUUCUUUUUCUUUUUUCUGUUCUUUAUCACAAUAAGAUAAAAAUUAAUACUGUUUUAA